rnacentral:rRNA from 1 species
AGGAGAGUUUGAUCCUGGCUCAGGAUGAACGCUAGCUACAGGCUUAACACAUGCAAGUCGAGGGGCAUCAUGGGAGGACUUCGGUCCUUUUGAUGGCGACCGGCGAAUGGGUGAGUAACACGUAUCCGACCUGCCCUGUACUGGAGGAUAGCCUCCCGAAAGGGAAAUUAAUACUCCAUGUGUCAAAUGUCCGCAUGGUCGUUUGAUGAAAGAUUUAUCGGUACAGGAUGGGGAUGCGUUCCAUUAGCCAGCCGGCGGGGUAACGGCCCACCGGGGCGACGAUGGAUAGGGGUUCUGAGAGGAAGGUCCCCCACACUGGAACUGAGACACGGUCCAGACUCCUACGGGAGGCAGCAGUGAGGAAUAUUGGUCAAUGGCCGCAAGGCUGAACCAGCCAAGUAGCGUGCGGGACGACGGCCCUAUGGGUUGUAAACCGCUUUUAUACGGGGGUAAAACGCGCCACGUGUGGUGUCUUGCAAGUACCGUAAGAAAAAGGACCGGCUAAUUCCGUGCCAGCAGCCGCGGUAAUACGGAAGGUCCGAGCGUUAUCCGGAUUUAUUGGGUUUAAAGGGAGCGUAGGCGGGAUGCCAAGUCAGUUGUGAAAGUCCGCGGCUCAACCGUGGAAUUGCAGUUGAAACUGGUAUUCUUGAGUGUACAUAACGAAGGUGGAAUUUGUGGUGUAGCGGUGAAAUGCUUAGAUAUCACGAAGAACUCCGAUUGCGAAGGCAGCCUUCGGGGGUACUACUGACGCUGAGGCUCGAAAGUGCGGGAAUCAAACAGGAUUAGAUACCCUGGUAGUCCCCU